AAGGCAGGAUCAAUGAUGACCUCCACCAUGGCCUGGUCCCCUCUCCUCCUCACCCUCCUUGCUCACUGCACAGGGUCCUGGGCCCAGUCUGUGCUGAAUCAGCUGCCUUCAGUGUUAGGAUCCCUGGGCCAGAGAAUCACCAUCUCCUGCUCUGGAAGCACGAAUGACAUCGGUAUGCUUGGUGUGAACUGGUACCAAGAGCUCCCAGGAAAGGCCCCUAAACUCCUCGUAGAUGGUACUGGGAAUCGACCCUCAGGGGUCCCUGACCGAUUUUCUGGCUCCAAAUCUGGCAACUCAGGCACUCUGACCAUCACUGGGCUCCAGGCUGAGGACGAGGCUGAUUAUUAUUGUCAGUCCACUGAUCUCACGCUUGGUGCUCCCCCAGUGCUCUGGGCCUAG